CCUACGGGAGGCAGCAGUGAGGAAUAUUGGUCAAUGGUCGGGAGACUGAACCAGCCAAGCCGCGUGAGGGAGGAAGGUACAGAGUAUCGUAAACCUCUUUUGUCAGGGAACAAAGCCGGGGACGUGUCCCCGGCUGAGUGUACCUGAAGAAAAAGCAUCGGCUAACUCCGUGCCAGCAGCCGCGGUAAUACGGAGGAUGUGAGCGUUAUCCGGAUUUAUUGGGUUUAAAGGGUGCGCAGGCGGUCUGUUAAGUCAGCGGUCAAAGCCCGGGGCUCAACCCCGGCCCGCCGUUGAAACUGGCAGUCUCGAGUUGGAGAGAAGUAUGCGGAAGGCGCGGUGUAGCGGUGAAAUGCAUAGAUAUCGCGCAGAACUCCGAUUGCGAAGGCAGCAUGCCGGCUCCACACUGACGCUGAGGCACGAAAGCGUGGGUAUCGAACAGGAUUAGAUACCCGUGUAGUC
rnacentral:rRNA from 1 species